UACGUAGGGGGCGAGCGUUGUCCGGAGUUACUGGGCGUAAAGCGCACGCAGGCGGUCCAGCGCGUGUGGGGUGACAGUGGUCGGCUUAACCGACUAAGUGCCUUACAGACGGCUGCGACUUGAGGGCCACAGAGGGACAUGGAACUCCAGGUGUAGUGGUGAAAUGCGUAGAUAUCUGGAAGAACACCAAAGGCGAAGGCAGUGUCCUGGGUGGUACCUGACGCUGAUGUGCGAAAGCCAGGGGAGCGAACGGG
rnacentral:rRNA from 1 species